rnacentral:lncRNA from 1 species
GGAACCCAACCGCCGUGACUCACGGCCCGCCAAUCAGGACGCCAGGCCGCCUGCCUUUCCAGCCAGGCACACCUGUAACCUGCCAGCCAUCUGCUGGGCCACACCCCUGCCCCAGCCGUUCCCGAGAGAAAUACAAACCUCUUUACGCGGGUGUGUGUGGGAGCUCUGUGGCUCUGCCGCAGGGGCAGCGCACACGGCCGUGUGCUGAGGACAGAGAGCAUAGACGCACACGAGCACACCCACCCGGGGAGCCGUGCACCCCCUCCUGCCCCUGCCAGGCUCGCCGCUAUCUCCCGCCCCCAUCCCCAGUGAUGACAGAAGAGGCCCAGCAGACGGCGGCGUCCGGGGGGCCAGGGAGCUCCCUCGCCCUCAAAAGAGCAAACAAAGACACUUGAGCCCGCCUCGUCCCUGAAGUCCCUCGGGGAAUACUGAAGUGGGAAGGGACUGAGAGGUCUCGAGCAAAGCCACGGGCCACAGCUUCAGCAAAGGACCUCCCCUCAGCUCCCAAGAUCAAGGGCCCAUUCCAGGCCGGUCUGCAGACCCACAGACUCAGACUGCUGGUUUGGACAGGAGAGAAAAAGAGUGAGUCCUGUGGGGAAGCAGAGAAGGGCAGGACCCGACCCUCACGACCAGGGACAGCUGGCCGGGGGGAGGGGCACGUCUGGCUGGGGCAGAAACCGCUCUCUCCAUCCUUGGGUGAAGCCGCACCCAAGGUCCGGGGCGGCCUGCCCAGCCCUGCUCGCUCCUGGCAGAGGCUGGGCUGUGGGACAGGGCGGCUGUGGGGGGCCUGUCUGUCCUUAGUCACAUUUGCAUGCGGUGUAACACGGCUGGGGGCCUUAAUCCUCUCCUUUGAAGCACUCCCGCCUCUUCACCCAAUCCAGGAGUGACAGGUGGGCACGGAGUACCCCUGUCACCCUCCGAGGGUCCCCGGGUCCUGGACUCCUGGACGCAAGUCCCAAGGACACCCACCUCUGGGUCACAGCCCAUUGUCAGACUGGUUGAAUGGGAGGCCCAGGGCCCUUCCACCUAGGGGUCCCAGGGGCUGCACUGCAUGGACAUGAGCGUCUGGGACCACUUGAGGGUGGCUCUUAGAGGGGCAGGGGACAAGGCCAGUGUGAAGGAGGAGAGACGUGGGCAUUUCUGAGGGACCCUCUUUGUCUCGGAGAUGCUGCUCAGCGGUGUGGUUGGAUGUCCAGGGCGAGCCUUCUAGGCAGGGCUUACCGCCAGGAGAGCUGAGGGUCAGAAGGUAAAGGGACCUGGCCCUGGCCUACCCAGCCUGGACCACCCGGUGUCCGCAGUGAGGGUGGGACUCGGAGCAGCUGCUGGGUGCAGAGGGACCCUCACACGGAAUCCAGCCACCCCGCCUCAGUGCCAGCCUGUGCCUGCCGCCGCUCGGACAGGUGCCACCCUGCGCAGGUGAGGGGUUGCGCCUCCCUGUCGGUUCCUCUCCGCGUUUUUCUGGGCUGAGCCUGGCUGGCGGCCCUGCCAGGACAUCACGGUAGCAAAGGACACGGUGGCAGGGGCGCCUGGCAGUGAAUGAUCUGCUUGUCCCCGCCCGCCACCUGAGGCGCAGAGGGAGGCGAGGCUGUGCCAGCGGCUCGGAGCGAGGGGCUGGGCCAUCUGGAGCAUCCCCUCGUCUCCCACACUCACCCCCUAAGCAGAGGGGCUUCCUGCCGGCCCCCCAGGCUGCAGCCAGACCCUGCCACAGUCACAGCCCACAGCUGGGGGCUUGGCUGUCCCCAGAGAUUUCACCCUGACCCUCCCCACUCACCCCAGAGCUCCAGAACCAGUUCCUGGGCUACCAGGGGCCUCCAGGUGCCCCAGGGGGACAGCCUGACGGAGCUGUCUGCAGGGAAAGCUACAGACAUGCAGGGGGUCACUGGGGGAAGGGGUGGUCGGGGCAGAACAGGGAACCGCCCUCCAUGGGCUUCCCAGGCGUCUCCAGCUCGCCCGCCCCGCCUGGCCCCCCAGGCCUAGCACCCUCCGACAGCAGGAUAACCCAACCGGCUGGCUCGUCAGAAUAAACCCCACAUUUAUAAGAUGUGUGCA